rnacentral:piRNA from 1 species
UGGAAGCCCCAGGUUGGCUGAUGGCUU